rnacentral:lncRNA from 1 species
GAAUCUCUUUCCUGGAACAGGCACCUGGCUCAUGAUUCCCACUUGCAAAGAAUUCGCCCUCGGACGAGCUUUGAAGUUGUCACCACUCGGCUUGUACAUUUCUCCUUUAAAGGAGAAGAAUGUAGGGUGAGCCGCGGCAGGGCACAGGGCGCGCAGACGUGGACGUGUCACGAGGACCCUGGGUAGCCAUCUUAAACGAACAAAAACGCCUUUCGCAAAAACAGGGGCCAGGGAGUGUCCCCCAGAGCGACAAGAGGAUAAAAAAGGAAAUGAGUGAAUUUCUCCUCUGUCACACGGACCACCGGUUCCGAGCUUUGCGGAGGGAAGCACGGAAGGAUGGAAAUUGUCCCCGAAUUUAUGUUUUCUGCAACGCAAACUUCCAUGGCCCGCACACCCCUCCCUCCUCUGCAUCGCGCCCGAGAACGGGUGGUUUUGGUGCAGCUGGAGCGACAGCCACUCGGUCUGAAGCGGUUUCCCGGCUGUUAGCCUUGCUCGGAAGAACACCUGGAAAGGAACGGCUCCUUAGACCCCAGGAUGUAAGAGGACAGCUGGACAUGGCCAGCCAGGAUGGGUGCCAGAGGAGCAGGUUCUUGCCAUCUGUCGGGGUGGCUGACUCCUGCUGUGGUUCCAUUUCUCAGCUGACAGAGCAUCUGACCAGGGAAUUUAUGCUGCUCGCACAACACAGAAAUCGCUGAGAGAGGC